rnacentral:lncRNA from 1 species
CAAUAUCUACUUUGCCAGGGAUGAAGGUAGCUCUGGGGAACAUGUACCUAAUAUGGCAACAACUAUUACUCUGACCUUCCCCCAUCCUGUCUCAGGAAUACAGCUGGCAUUGCACGAGAAGAUCUGUAAGGAAGAAUUACGUCAAGAAAAGCAGCAGACACAAGAACAUGGCAGAUUCAGGCAGAGAUGAAGAUGGAGCAGAGAAGCCAAGUCAGACUGCACUUGGUACUUCUCUGGUUGCUUCAAGAAAAUACCUGGUGGAAGCAGGAGGGAUUGUUUUUACAAUCCAUCAUGGCGGCCAGAUGCCACAGAGAGAAGAUCCCAGAGUGUCUGGUCUUGUUACAUCCACAGUCAGGGAGAGAUGAAUGAUGCUAUUCUCCUCCUUUUUAUUCAGUCUGGGAUCUCGGGCCAUAGAAUGGCACCACACACAUUUAAGGCUUCCAAGCAAGCUCAUUAAAAUGUCAUCUAUCAACAAGAAAAUCUACAUGCUGAUCUAUCACCAGUUUAUAUUAUAGUACCCACCCUUUUUUUCUAGCAAGCAUCUUUCAUAAACAAUAUCUGUGAGACUUCUGCUUCCUCUUUUAUGUUUCUUCCCACAUAUCUGUACAAGGAGGGGAAAUGUCUGAAAUCCAGCCUUCAUCCAAGUUGAGAGCUUAAGCAACCCGAUAGCAGGUGUCAUCUCUUCCGUUCGUCACUGUGUGGCAUCUUGAGGACUACGUUCUGAAUAAGUGUUCACUGUCCAUUAACAUUCCUGCUGCUGCUGGUUCUCCUGGAGCUGGCUAAUGGGCCACAGAACAACUGCAGCUCCUAAGUGACAAGGCACUUCUUAUCCAAGUGGUGCCUGGGGUCCCUCUU